rnacentral:other from 1 species
AAUGGUCUGGGAUAAGCGUGACUCACAUAUGUCCAACCUAUAGUACACCUUCGGGAGCUUGAUGCUGUGCAGCUGUCGGACCGUCUUGAACGGAUGGCAAAAACAGAGCUAAGGCGCCCACCUGCUGAGCGCAGGUUUGGACAUAUACGGGAACGGUAUUUCGGACUUAAA